UACGUAGGGUGCAAGCGUUGUCCGGAAUUAUUGGGCGUAAAGAGCUCGUAGGCGGUCUGUCGCGUCGGCUGUGAAAACCCGGGGCUCAACCCCGGGCCUGCAGUCAAUACGGGCAGACUAGAGUGCGGUAGGGGAGACUGGAAUUCCUGGUGUAGCGGUGAAAUGCGCAGAUAUCAGGAGGAACACCUGUGGCGAAGGCGGUGGCCUGGACCGGUGCUGACGCUGAGGCGCGAAGGCGUGGGGAGCGAUCCGG
rnacentral:rRNA from 1 species